UAUUGUUGACGUUCUUUUUGGUACAGGAUGACGCUCAUAUCUUCUGCAGGGAGUCCCAAGUGAAAGAUGAAGCCCAGGUCGUUGAGGUCAAGCGCACACCCUCAGGCGUCAGAACUCAUAAGGCCAUAGCGUAACGCCAUAACCCAGUUUGAAAAACAAUCCGUCAGCUUCCUUGCAUUUUCUACACCCUGCUCUGCUCAGUACCAUCGCCAGCAAAUCACCCCCCUAUCAUCCAAGUUUUGCCAGAUUGUCUCCACAGGGUCUCAUUAAUUAUGAACAGUUUAUAUGGUGGGCGCUAUAAUGUGGUAUCCCACGGAUGUCAAUGGGAAAAUAUCUGUUAAGGGGAGUGUUAUUCGCAUUCCCUAUCGUCCUCCUGUAUUCCAGUGCAGGAUUGUUGUGGGGGAGUGCCUAGUAAAAGUCAAAGAAAAUUUGAUAUAUCAGCACAUAAAUUAUGAUUACUAUGAAGUUGGAAUUGAGGCUCUAUUGAGUUCGGCUGAGUGGAUUCGUUGAAACGAAUAAGAGAGUAUCUGUAAUGCUUUCUCAUUAAUUGGAGAUGGAGCUCUGG